rnacentral:rRNA from 1 species
AGAGUUUGAUCAUGGCUCAGGAUGAACGCUAGCGGCAGGCUUAAUACAUGCAAGUCGAGGGGCAGCAUUACUACUUGUAGUAGAUGGCGACCGGCGCACGGGUGCGUAAUGCGUAUGAAACCUACCUAAUACAGGGGGAUAGCCCAGAGAAAUUUGGAUUAAUACCCCAUGGUACUGUGAUCUCGCAUGGGAUUAUAGUUAAAGAUUUAUCGGUAUUGGAUGGUCAUGCGUUCUAUUAGUUAGUUGGUAAGGUAACGGCUUACCAUCAGGCAAGCGCGAAUUAGAUAGAGGCCCUGAGAGAGGGAUCCCCCACACCUGGUAACUGAAACACCGAACCAGACUCCUACGGGAGGCAGCAGUGAGGAAUAUUGGACAAUGGAGGCAACUCUGAUCAAGCCAUGCCGCGUGAAGGAAGACUGCCCUAUUGGGUUGUAAACUUCUUUUAUAGAGGAAGAAACGAUGAUACGUGUAUCAUUUUGACGGUACUCUACGAAUAAGGAUCGGCUAACUCCGUGCCAGCAGCCGCGGUAAUACGGAGGAUCCAAGCGUUAUCCGGAAUCAUUGGGUUUAAAGGGUCCGCAGGCUGUUGUUUAAGUCAGAGGUGAAAGUUUGCAGCUCAACUGUAAAAUUGCCUUUGAUACUGGAUAACUUUGAGUUAUAAUGAAGUGGUUAGAAUAUGUAGUGUAGCGGUGAAAUGCAUAGAUAUGACUUAGAACACCGAUUGCGAAGGCAGAUCACUAAUUAUAAACUGACGCUGAGGGACGAAAGCGUGGGGAGCGAACAGGAUUAGAUACCCUGGUAGUCCACGCUGUAAACGAUGGUCACUAGCUGUUUGGACUUCGGUCUGAGUGGCUAAGCGAAAGUGAUAAGUGACCCACCUGGGGGAGUACGAUCGCAAGAUUGAAACUCAAAGGAAUUGACGGGGGCCCGCACAAGCCGGUGGAGCAUGGGGUUUAAAUUCGAUGAUACGCGAGAAACCUUACCAGGGCUUAAAUGGUGGAUUGACAGGGGCAGAGACGCCUUUUUCUUCGGACAACUCACAAGGUUGCUGCAUGGUUGUCGUCAGCUCGUGCCGUGAGAGGUGUUCAGGUUAAGUCCUAUAACGAGCGCAAACCCUGUUGUUAGUUACCAGCAAAUGAUGGUGGGGACUCUAACAAGAACUGUGCCGGUGCAAACCGUGAGGAAGGUGGGGAUGAACCUCAAAUACAUCACGGCCCUAACGUCCUGGGCUACACACUUGUGCUACAAGUGGUGAUGGUAGCACGCAGAGCAGCCACGCUCACGCAAGUAGGAGCGUAAUCUACAAAACCUAUCUCAGUUCGGAUCGGAGUCUACAACUCGACUCCGUGAAGCUGGAAUCGCUAGUAAUCGGAUAUCAGCCAUGAUCCGGUGAAUACGUUCCUGGGCCUUGUACACACCGCCCGUCAAGCCAUGGAAGCUGGGGGUACCUGAAGUCGGUGACCGUAAGGAGCUGCCUAGGGUAAAACUAGUAACUGGGGCUAAGUCGUAACAAGGUAACC